rnacentral:rRNA from 1 species
AUUGAACGCUGGCAGCAGGCUUAACACAUGCAAGUCGAGCGGGGAUUGGGUGCUUGCACCUAAUCUUAGCGGCGGACGGGUGAGUAAUGCUUAGGAAUCUGCCUAUUAGUGGGGGACAACAUUCCGAAAGGAAUGCUAAUACCGCAUACGUCCUACGGGAGAAAGCAGGGGAUCUUCGGACCUUGCGCUAAUAGAUGAGCCUAAGUCGGAUUAGCUAGUUGGUGGGGUAAAGGCCUACCAAGGCGACGAUCUGUAGCGGGUCUGAGAGGAUGAUCCGCCACACUGGGACUGAAACACGGCCCAGACGCCUACGGGAGGCAGCAGUGGGGAAUAUUGGACAAUGGGCGGAAGCCUGAUCCAGCCAUGCCGCGUGUGUGAAGAGGGCCUUUUGGUUGUAAAGCACUUUAAGCGAGGAGGAGGCUACCUGGAUUAAUACUCUAGGAUAGUGGACGUUACUCGCAGAAUAAGCACCGGCUAACUCUGUGCCAGCCGCCGCAGUAAAAC